rnacentral:rRNA from 1 species
GACGUAGGGCGCGAGCGUUGUCCGGAUUUAUUGGGCGUAAAGAGCUCGUAGGCGGCUUGCCGCGUCGACUGUGAAAACCCGUGGCUCAACCAUGUGGUCUGCAGUCGAUACGGGCAGGCUAGAAUUCGGUAGGGGAGACUGGAAUUCCUGGUGUAGCGGUGAAAUGCGCAGAUAUCAGGAGGAACACCGGUGGCGAAGGCGGGUCUCUGGGCCGAUAUUGACGCUGAGGAGCGAAAGCGUGGGGAGCGAACAGG